GGACCAAGGAGUCUAGCAUGUGCGCGAGUCAUUGGGAUAUUUACGAAACCUAAAGGCGCAAUGAAAGUGAAGGUCCGCCGUGCGCGGACCGAGGGAGGAUGGGCGGUCUCGAGGGGCCGCCUCGCACUCCCGGGGCGUCUCGUUCUCAUCGCGAGAAGAGGCGCACCCAGAGCGUACACGCUGGGACCCGAAAGAUGGUGAACUAUGCCUGGUCAGGACGAAGUCAGGGGAAACCCUGAUGGAGGUCCGUAGCGAUUCUGACGUGCAAAUCGAUCGUCGGAACUGGGUAUAGGGGCGAAAGACUAAUCGAACCAUCUAGUAGCUGGUUCCCUCCGAAGUUUCCCUCAGGAUAGCUGGCGCUCGCUUCUCGCGAGUCUCAUUCGGUAAAGCGAAUGAUUAGAGGCAUUGGGGUCGAAACGGCCUCAACCUAUUCUCAAACUUUAAAUGGGUGAGAUCUCCGGCUUGCUUGAACUGUGAAGCCGCGAGAUAUCGGAUCAGAGUGCCAAGUGGGCCACUUUUGGUAAGCAGAACUGGCGCUGUGGGAUGAACCAAACGCCGAGUUAAAGCGCCUAAAUCGACGCUUAUGGGAUACCAUGAAAGGCGUUGGUAACUUAAGACAGCAGGACGGUGGCCAUGGAAGUCGGA
rnacentral:rRNA from 2 species